GGCAGAGGCUCUGGAAGUGCGGCUGUUUGGUGGGCUCCUCGUUUUCAUACCUGCCUCAUGCAUCCCUUGAACAUGAGCAAAGUCUUCUUGAAAUUCCAGUCUGCCUCAAGUGUGCCAAGUGUCAUUUGCUCCCCAGUUUGUUUGACCGGAGCCGUGCUUGUUUCUCAUCUUCCGGUUCUGCGGGGCCGUGGAUCUUCAGAGGAAGGAAGGAAGGAAUGCGCACUCCUGGUUUUCCCUUCAGUGUGGAAAGAAACUUCAUGGAUAUUUCGUCUACCGAAUCUCCCUGUCAAAGCCUCCGAGAACCUGCAUUUUCGCUCCUGGAAACCACUACUGCCUUCUCUCUGCCUAGGACUGCGUCAGACACCCCAGGGAAGUGGACUCCCACAGUGCUCCUUCUCUCAUAACUGCUUUUCUCUGAGCAUGCUGCCUUCAAAGUUCAUCCACGGAACAUGGAUCAGAAUUUCAUGCCUUUUUGCAGGCUGAAUAAUACUCCAUUGACUGUGUUUCUAGAUAUUGUUUGUCUACUCAGUUACUGCUGAGCCUCUUUGGAGGUUUUCAUUUUUGGUCAUUGUUAAUUAGACUGCUGAAGAGCCAGGUGUGGAAGCACGCAAGUGUAAUCCCAGCACUCAGAGUCUGAGGCAGGAAGGUCGUGAGUUCAAGGCCAGAGUGUGCUAUGUAGCUAGACUCCGUGUC